rnacentral:rRNA from 1 species
GACGAACGCUGGCGGCGUGCUUAACACAUGCAAGUCGAACGGAAAGGCCCUGCUUUUGUGGGGUGCUCGAGUGGCGAACGGGUGAGUAACACGUGAGUAACCUGCCCUUGACUUUGGGAUAACUUCAGGAAACUGGGGCUAAUACCGGAUAGCAGCUCCUGCUGCAUGGUGGGGGUUGGAAAGUUUCGGCGGUUGGGGAUGGACUCGCGGCUUAUCAGCUUGUUGGUGAGGUAGUGGCUUACCAAGGCUUUGACGGGUAGCCGGCCUGAGAGGGUGACCGGCCACGUUGGGACUGAGAUACGGCCCAGACUCCUACGGGAGGCAGCAGUGGGGAAUAUUGCACAAUGGGCGGAAGCCUGAUGCAGCAACGCCGCGUGCGGGAUGACGGCCUUCGGGUUGUAAACCGCUUUCGCCUGUGACGAAGCGUGAGUGACGGUAAUGGGUAAAGAAGCACCGGCUAACUACGUG